UACGAAGGGGGCUAGCGUUGCUCGGAAUGACUGGGCGUAAAGGGCGCGUAGGCGGAUGGCACAGUCAGAUGUGAAAUUCCCGGGCUUAACCUGGGGGCUGCAUUUGAUACGUGUGAUCUAGAGUGAGGAAGAGGGUCGUGGAAUUCCCAGUGUAGAGGUGAAAUUCGUAGAUAUUGGGAAGAACACCGGUGGCGAAGGCGGCGACCUGGUCCUUGACUGACGCUGAGGCGCGAAAGCUAGGGGAGCAAACAGG
rnacentral:rRNA from 1 species